UUGAGAGUUUGAUCCUGGCUCAGGAUGAAUGCUGGCGGCGUGCCUUAAGCAUGCAAGUCGAACGAUUGAAGUUUUUGUAGCAAUACAGAAGCUGAUCUAGUGGCGGACGGGUGAGUAAUACGUGGGAAUCUACCUCUUGGCGGGGGAUAGCUCGCCGAAAGGCGGGGUAAUACCGCAUAAAUAUCUACGGAUCAAAGGUCUUAACCGACCACCGAGAGAGGAGCCUGCGUCCCAUCAGCUAGUUGGUAGGGUAAUGGCCUACCAAGGCUAUGACGGGUAGGGGAUGUGAGAGCAUGAUCCCCCACAAGGACACUGAGACACGGGUCCUACAUCUACGGAUGGCAGCAACUGGGAAUCUUGCGCAAUGGACGAAAGUCUGACGCAGCGACGCCGCGUGUAGGAAGAAGGCCUUCGGGUCGUAAACUACUGUGGAGAGGGAAUAACAAAUGAAGGUACCUUUCUAGAAAGCACCUGCUAACCACGUGCCAGAAGCCUCGGUAAUACGUGGGGUGCAAGCAUUAUCCGGAUUUACUGGGCGUAAAGAGUGCCGUAGGCGGCUAGGCAAGUAUACGGUUAAAGGUUCUGGCUCAACCAGAAACAUGCUGUAUAAACUACCUGGCUUGAAGAUUGUAGGGAAUAUCGGAAUUCUCGGUGGAGGGGUGAAAUCCGUUGAUAUCGAGAAGAACACCAAUGGCGAAGGCAGAUAUUUAUACAAUUCUUGACGCUGAUGGACGAAAGCUAGGGGAGCGAAAGGGAUUAGAGACCCCUGUAGUCCUAGCCGUAAACGAUGGAUACUAGCUGGUUGCCGUAAGGUGGCUGGCGUAAGCUAACGCGUUAAGUAUCCCGCCUGGGAAGUACGGCCGCAAGGCUAAAACUCAAAGGAAUUGACGGGGGAGCGCACAACCGGUGGAGCAUGUGGUUUAAUUCGAUACGAAGCGAAAAACCUCACCUGGGUUUGAAAUGUAACUGCAAGUCCUACGAAAGUAGGAUUCCUUCGAGGGUGUUGCACAGCUGUUGCAUGGCUGUCGUCAGUUCGUGUCGUGAGGCGUUUCUUUAAGUAGAAUAACGAACGCAACCCCUAUGCUGUGUUGUAUGUUCACAGCAGACUGCCCUUGAUAGUAUCAAGGGAGGAAGGAGGGGACGACGUCAAGUCAGCAUGACGCUUACAUCCAGGGCCACACACAUCCUACAAUGGACACUAACAAUGGGUCGCCAACCCGCAAGGGGGAGCCAAUCCCACCAAACGUGUCCUCAGUUCAGAUUGGGGGCUGCAACUCGCCCCCAUGAAGUCGGAAUCGGUAGUAAUCGCAAAUCAGCAGGUUGCGGUGAAUACGUUCUCGCUCCUUGUACACACCGCCCGUCAAGUAAGCAAAGUUGGCAAUGCCUGAAGUCGGUGUUCUUAACCCCGCAAGGGGAAAGACCCGCCUAAGGUAAGGUCAGCGAUGAGUGCUAAGUCGUAACAAGGUAUCCGUUCUGGAAGGAGCGGAUGGAUCACCUCCUUUCUA
rnacentral:rRNA from 1 species